UAAAGCGAAUGAUUAGAGGCAUUGGGGUCGAAACGGCCUCAACCUAUUCUCAAACUUUAAAUGGGUGAGAUCUCCGGCUUGCUUGAACGUGAAGCCGCGAGAUUUCGGAUCAGAGUGCCAAGUGGGCCACUUUUGGUAAGCAGAACUGGCGCUGUGGGAUGAACCAAACGCAGAGUUAAAGCGCCAAAAUCGACGCUUAUGGGAUACCAUGAAAGGCGUUGGUAACUUAAGACAGCAGGACGGUGGCCAUGGAAGUCGGAAUCCGCCAAGGAGUGUGUAACAACUCACCUGCCGAAGUUACUAGCCCUGAAAAUGGAUGGCGCUGAAGCGUCGUGCUUAUACUCUGCCGUCAGCGGCAUGUGCGGCGCGCGCGUCCGCAAGGGCGCGCGUGUCAUGAAGCUCUGACGAGUAGGAGGGUCGCGGCGGUGCGCGCAGAAGGACCGGGCGCGAGCCCGUCUGGAGCCGCCGUCGGUGCAGAUCUUGGUGGUAGUAGCAAAUACUCCAGCGAGGCCCUGGAGGACUGACGUGGAGAAGGGUUUCGUGUGAACAGCCGUUGCACACGAGUCAGUCGAUCCUAAGCCCUAGGCGAAAGCCGAUGUCGAUGUGGUGUUUUUCCUGAGAGGAAGAGCGACACACCCGUCGGGCGAAAGGGAAUCCGGUUCCUAUUCCGGAACCCGGCAGCGGAACCGCCAUUACGUCGGGCCCUCGCAAGAGAGUUCGUCGGGGUAACCCAAAAGGACCUGGAGACGCCGUCGGGAGAUCCGGGAAGAGUUUUCUUUUCUGUAUAAGCGUUCGAGUUCCAUGGAAUCCUCUAGCAGGGAGAUAUGGUUUGGAGCGCGAAGAGCACCGCAGUUGCGGCGGUGUCCGGAUCUUCCCCUCGGACCUUGAAAAUCCAGGAGAGGGCCACGGGAGGCUCGCGCCGGCUCGUACCCAUAUCCGCAGCAG
rnacentral:rRNA from 1 species